rnacentral:rRNA from 1 species
CGGGUGCACUGAUCCGGCCGGGCCUUUCCCUCUGUGGAACCCCAUGGCCUUCACUGGCUGUGCGGGGGAAACAGGACUUUUACUGUGAAAAAAUUAGAGUGCUCCAGGCAGGCCUAUGCUCGAAUACAUUAGCAUGGAAUAAUAGAAUAGGACGCGUGGUUCUAUUUUGUUGGUUUCUAGGACCGCCGUAAUGAUUAAUAGGGACAGUCGGGGGCAUCAGUAUUCAAUUGUCAGAGGUGAAAUUCUUGGAUCUAUUGAAGACUAACUACUGCGAAAGCAUUUGCCAAGGAUGUUUUCAUUGAUAAGGAACGAAAGUUGGGGGAUCGAAGACGAUCAGAUACCGUCGUAGUCUUAACUAUAAACUAUGCCGACUAGGGAUCGGACGAUGUUAUUUCUUGACGCGUUCGGCACCUUUCGAGAAAUCAAAGUGCUUGGGCUCCAGGGGGAGUAUGGUCGCAAGGCUGAAACUUAAAGAAAUUGACGGAAGGGCACCACCAGGGGUGGAACCUGCGGCUUAAUUUGACUCAACACGGGGAAACUCACCAGGUCCAGACACAGUGAGGAUUGACAGAUUGAGAGCUCUUUCUUGAUUCUGUGGGUGGUGGUGCAUGGCCGUUCUUAGUUGGUGGAGUGAUUUGUCUGCUUAAUUGCGAUAACGAACGAGACCUUAACCUGCUAAAUAGCCCGUACUGCUCUGGCAGUUCGCCGGCUUCUUAGAGGGACUAUCGG